rnacentral:ribozyme from 1 species
AGAAACGCUACGUAACGGCAUGAAAGUUUUUUUUUUUUUUUUUUUUUUUUU